rnacentral:tRNA from 1 species
GCACCGGUAGUAUAAUGGCUAGUAUGUCGGCCUUCCAAGCCGAGGAUCCGGGUUCGAAGGAAGAGGUUGAGCUUAGAAAAUCCAGCUGGUUAGUCUUCAGGAUUGUAAAACCUGUCCCGAAAGCCCCGGCCGGUGCA